GCGCCUGUAGCUCAGCAGGAUAGAGCAACUGCCUUCUAAGCAGUAGGUUGGGGGUUCGAGUCCCUCCAGGCGUACC
rnacentral:tRNA from 1 species